rnacentral:rRNA from 1 species
GAUAAACGCUGGCGGCGUGCCUAAUACAUGCAAGUCGAACGGUAAGGCUUUCACAGAUUAUUUAACCGGAUAAGUCCGUCAAUUGACGGAUACUGUCUGCGGUUGUGUUCACUAGGCUAGUGAACACAGUUGAAUGAUGUGUGAAAGUACACGAAGUGGCGGACGGCUGAGUAACGCGUAGGAAUGUACCCCAAAGUGAGGGAUAAGCACCAGAAAUGGUGUCAAUACCGCAUAUGGUCUAAGGAUUAAAGCCUUCGGGCGCUUUGGGAACAGCCUGCGUAAGAUUAGCUAGUUGG